AGAAAAAGCUAAGGUUCCAUUCUGAAAUCUUCCAUUUAAUAUCAAGUCCUUUCUGAAGAUGGACAAAACAGGAGGACUAUUUUGGGGGAGAUCAGAAUAAAUCCUUUCUGCUAAUGAAGAGAUCUGUAUUAAGAGUAUUCACAGACUCACCUCUGAAACAGUAUACAUUCCCUGCAAGAACACUUAAUUAGUUCUUUCAGCCAUUAACUACAACUUACACAGUAGCAAAUCCAGGCAAGUUCUGCCUCACAAAUGGGUCCCAAAAGUACUCUAUUUCUGGAUACUCCACUCCUAUGCCUGUAUAUCUUACAUCUUAUUAUUUUAACUUCUAGGAAGCAGUUGAAUACCUUGUAAGUAAAGGGUGUGUUAUAAAGACAGUUUAAGCCUUAUUUGGUAAACAAUCCUGUUAAAAUGAAAACAAAACAUUUUAUGAGAUUUUUCUGAGGCAAAAGGGUAGUAUUUUCUCUUUUCCUCAACAUUUUAAAAUUGCUGAGGAUAACACAGAUGUCUCUGCACAUUUUAGGUAUGUCAUCCUUGUUUCAUUCCUUGCAAUAUAUUGCUUCUCGACAUAUCCAGACAAUUUGGGUCCAAAUGCACACUACACAAAGUAAACCUACAUCUGACUUGCAGCCACUGUCACUUUUUACAUGGUUAUUAUAGUGCUUUCAAAGAGAAGAGGAACUGACACAGAAAGGAAAAACUAUUAUAGGUGUCUUUCAAAGUAUGCAGCAGAACCACCUAGAAAAUAGUUUUCAAAACAUGUAAAAUAUAAAAAGACAACCCAGGAUUUAUAUACUACAGCAGCUUAAUGCCAGCCUCCUCCCCUUCCCCUUCCCCCCCACUCCCUCAUGAUGUUACAGCAAUUGCUUCUUACUGCCCAGGGAAAAAGGAGCUCUGUCAUACAGCUGAAGCCCACUCCUCUUACAGUCUCACCGGCUUUGCUAUCCAGCAACAUGGAGAACUGCUUUUCUCCACCUCUUUGACACUAUGCAAUAGUUUUUGCACAGAUGGGCUGAAAAUGCUUUUGUAUGAUAACAAGAUAAACACGGAGCUAUGGCCCUUCAAGUGGGAGUGGCUGCUCUGCUGCUGCUACGGUCUGGAGACCUUCAGUAGAGGGCACAGGACAAGGAUUCAAGUGUUUUCAAAAUUUCCUCGUAGCCGUAUUUGCUACACUGUCCCUGAGUCUUAGAGGACAGACAGGAAAGGGUUAUCUGCCUGAAAUUUCCCUUUGAAAUUCUGUAAAUAGUUAGCCCACACUAGAUGUUAAGUGUAAUUCAAACCAGCUGUAGAACUUCCUUUCUUUCUGUCCUCAAGCAGCACAAUCCGUUCCUUAGUUACUCAUCAAACUAGCAGGAACCUCUCUCUGAACUUGGUAUGUGAACAUACAUUUCUGUCAGCCACCUUGCAGAUUUGCAUUAUUCAGCUCAUUGCUUCACAUUAUUAAAUAUGUAUCUCCAGCUGGGAGUAAAACCAGGUUCUUUAAUAGAGUAAAACCAAGUCUGCUCUUAAGCUGCAUUGUCUUUCAGAGAAAGAAAAAUUGCUGUUUUCCCCAGACAUACAAGAGUUAUUCUGCCCUAAUCCAAGAUGAAGCAUAACAAAUUAAUCAUAUUGAUGUUUUCAAAACAAAUCCAGAAAAGAAUCAGUGUAUCUUCCUAUCUACUUACAGAGACAGAACUCGGUACAAAAUCUAAAAUGAAGACCCUGAAUAGGGUCCAACAAGAGAUUUAAAGCUCAGGCAUGUUCAAAUCUUUGGAGAAAAUAAUUUUUGCCAAGCCAAUGGUUCAGCAUUUUCUCAAAACCUUAUCUGUCUAUACAUGAUCUUUUGAACAGACAGCAAGCCCUUGGUCUAGGUUUCAUUUCAGAGUCAUAGAAUGGCCUGGGUUGGAAGGGACUUUAAAGAUCAUCUUGUUCAAACUCUGUUGUGGCCAGGGACAUCCUCCACUAGAUCAAGUUGCUGAGACCUUCAUCCAGCCGGGCCUGGAACACUUCCAGGGAGUGUUCCACAACUUCUUGGUUACAGUGUACCUGUUAAAGUGCCUUACCACCUUCACAGCAAAGAACUCCCUCCUAUCUAACCUAUACCUACUGUCUCAAGUUAAAGCCUUUCCCUCUUGUCCUGUCACUACAUGACCUUGUAAAAAGCCUCUCCAUCUAUCUUGUAGCCUCCCUAAGGCACUGUAAAGCUGCAAUUACAUCACCCUAAAACCUUUUCUUUUCCAGGCUGGACAAGCCAGAUUCUCUUAGCUUUUUCUCAUCAAAGAGGUGCUCCAUCCCUCUGUCAGAUUGGGUGGCCCUCCUCUAGGCUCCCUCCAACAGCUCAAUGUCUUUCCUGUGCUGAAGAAUCAAAAGCCGGAUGCAGCUCUGCAGUGGGGUCUCACCAGAGCAGAGCAGAGGGACAGAAUCCUUUCCUUGCCCUGCUGGCCACACUGCUUUGGAUACAGCCCAGGACAUGUUUGGCUUUCUGGGCUGUGAGUGCUCCUUGCUGUGUCACGUCCAGCCUCUCAUCCACCAGCCCCCUGAGUCCUCACUAGGACUGUUCCAAUUUUAGUUUCAACAUUCAUAUGCCCUCACAAAUGUUUACUAUGAUUUAAUCAGUACACGCAAAUUCAGAAAAAAAUUCAGGUGUUUUGCCUGAUAUGAAGGCCUAUACCUACCUACUAAGCAAAUGAAUAUAACAUCAUGAGACAUUCCAAGACACAGUUUGUAUUGCACUUGGUAGCCCAGCUGCUUAUCAAUUUUCAAGUAAGAAAAAGCAAAUGCAAGACUUGUGUUCUCCAGAACACUACUGCACAAGCAAGUUUUAGUGACACAGUUCACAAGACAGCAACCUGCUCCUCAUUCAGGGCAAUACUCACAUGAAGUACCCAAAUCUGGAGUUGUUCCUGUACUGUCAUUUCUUCCUUUACAAAAAUUAGAAUAUUUUUUUUUCAUUCCAAAUUAAUAGGUAUCUUGAACAGAGUGUCCAAAUGUACCACACCUACACGCCCCACCCACAGCCCUGUUUCCUAGGUACUGGGUUAAAAAUGCACUAUAAGCCUUGCAGUAAUUCAGCAGAGGACAUAAAUUUUGCAGCUUUAGAAAAGACAUCAGUAAGCCUUUAUUUUCUGGGUAUUUCAUAUUAAACAUGCUGAAUAGGAGCAGAGUUAUAUAAGCUUAGUAAUGCACUGUAAACUCAGUAUGAAAGUAGAAAUUCAGACCGAGUAUCCCACUCCAUCUGUAUGAAUGAACUAUAAAUCUGGGUGGCAUUAGAGGAUUUAAAAUUGACAUUUAAAAUAUUACAAGCAUAGGUGGUAAAACUACUCAGAAACACUUCAAAAUACUUCCUAAUGGACAUAAUAUUUAGGCCAUCUCUCAGAGCCCCAGAGAACAGAGAAAUUUUGAAAUGCAAAAUGUGUUAGAAAGUGAUGCCACCGCAUAUCAGUUUUACUUACUAACACUUCCUGAAAGUGAGGAUAAAUGACAAAGCUUAGAAAUAUAUUUGUAAUACGCUUUUUCCCCUGAUGUAAUAGCUUUCCACAAAGGCCACAUCUAACAAUGUCUAGUCCAUGUUCUCUGGCUUUAGUCAGUCACUGAAAAUGAUAACUUGGGAUUGAUCUGUUACUAUGCAAACACACUGAAGACAAGCCACAAACUAGAAUAAGACAUUAACAACACUUUUAAUGUAUCAAUUUAUUGCAUAUGUCAGUACAUAAAAAUAGAAAAGUGUUUUUUGUAA
ensembl:lncRNA